rnacentral:lncRNA from 1 species
UAAAGGGGUUGUUGAGCCAUGUGCAAAUGAGUAUUUAUUCUUUCUGGCAAAAUGGACAGCUUAUACUAGCCAGGUUUUGCAGAAGAGCAGUGGGAGUCUGGAAGUGGAUAACGGAGGGCGUUUUAAGGAUCUAUAUGGGGAGGGGAGGGAAAGCACAGAGUCAACUGGUCUGUAGAGCAAGUGGUGGAAAGACCAGGGAGAUGGGAUGGCAUGUGUGGAGGUGCAAAGAGGCCCAGCAGGGAAGGCACGAUGAGAAAUCUCGCUCUCAUCCACCAUGCACUCAGCUCGGUGAAGCAGGGACUGGGGACUUGUACUGCAGACCCAAGCUGCAGCUUCUGUACUGCUAGGCUGCAGGGAGAGGCUUACAUGUUUCCUACCGAGUGUCUGUUGAGCUCUGUGCGUUUCUCCUUCAAAUUACACCGUGUAUUUGGAGUCGGAAUAAAUGGAAUAGAUUGUACAGAAUGCUUAAACUAUAGUCCUGGACUGUGUUCAAUAAUAAAAAGACGACUUUCCCAUGA